UGCAACUCUUCUUUUCCUUCUUCAUUCCAGCCGUGCAACUCCAAGGAAAAACAAGACCAAGUUCUUCAUUUUUCCUUCAUCAAAUCUUCAUCAAACCUCUUCCAAUUCACUCCAAAUUCGAACUACACUUAACUAAACAUUUAGAGAUCCCAUUGAGCUAAGAAAAGGAGCUGCUAUCCAUGGUUUUCUUGAGCAUCUAAGGGGCCGAAAUUUCUGCCUUCAUCCUCUAAUCAAGCGCUCAAGGGGACCUUCAAGAGGAACUCGAAGUGGACGUCUAGACAUUUGUUUGAGUAUUACUCUCUUGUUGCUGUAGGUGAGUGUUCCAUAUAGGAAUACGUAAUUGGAAUAAGUCUAUGACAUGCAUAACCCAUGAUUAUUAAGUGUUAAGUGCUAUAUGUUAAGUAUUUACCACACUCAUGCAUAUCUGAAUAAGGUAUACUUGAAUUACUCGACAUGAAAUACCUGAAAUAUGUAUAUUUGAACUAUUCGAUAUGAAAUGCUUAAAGAGCAUAUUUAUGUGAUUACUUGAAAUAUUAGAUAUGAAAUGCUUGGAGAGCAUAUCUACAUGAUGUGUUUAAAUGAUUAAUUAUGCUAUGACAGCAUAAGUCGGUUGGAGUGAAUCUCCUCGACUCUUAUGUGGAAAAA